UUUUAAUGUAGUGUAAACAUCGAGAGAAACGAUGCAUAUUUAUAAUUUUUCAACAAGACAUUUAAUGAUCAAACCAUAACGUAUGCAUCUUGGUUUUCCGUACUAGAUUUACGUCUCAACAUCAUGUUCUUGGUGUAUGCAAACAUUUCCCCUGGAAAAAAAGAAAGGCGUAUUGAAUUUGCGUAAAUAUCGGCAGACUAACUUAUAAAUCAUAGUGUCUGGUUUGUUAGCUUACGGCUCCCGUCUUCUUCAAUGAUGUAUAUAGCGAACUUGGUGGAAUUGCAUUUUUUACAUCAUAUAAUUGAGUGCCACCAUAUGUGAAUAUGUACCGACUUUACUAUACUGAAUGGCAGUAAUAUAAGCUACAGCUACUGUGAAUGAGUAUGAAAAGAACAGUG